CGCGUACGCUGGCGGCAUGGCUAAAACAUGCAAGUCGAACGAGAACGUCCACUUCGGUGGACUAUUAAAGUGGCGAAAGGGCGAGGAAUGCGUUUCUGACGUGCCCCAAGGUGAGGGAUAGCCCCGAGAAAUCGGGAGUAAUACCUCAUAAUCCCGUUGCGGAUCAAGUCGCUUCGGGCAAAGGCUUGCUGCCUUGGGAUCGGGAAACGUCCUAUCAGGUUGUUGGUGGGGUAAUGGCCUACCAAGCCUACGACGGGUAGCGGGUGUGAGAGCAUGACCCGCCGCAUCGGGACUGAGACACUGCCCGGACUCCUACGGGAGGCUGCAGUAACGAAUCUUCCGCAAUGCGCGAAAGCGUGACGGAGCAAUGCCGCGUGCAGGAUGAAGCCCCUCGGGGUGUAAACUGCUGUCAGGGAAUAGGAACAAAAUGACCAUUCCCAGAGGAAGGGCCGGCUAACUUCGUGCCAGCAGCCGCGGUAAUACGAAGGGCCCGAGCGUAGCGCGGAAUCACUGGGCUUAAAGGGUGCGUAGGCUGGACCGCCAGUGCUUUGUGAAAUCCCACAGCUCAACUGUGGAACUGCUUGGCAUACUGCGGUCCUUGAGCUCGACAGAGGUUGUCGGAACUCUAGGUGUAGCGGUGAAAUGCGUAGAUAUCUAGAGGAACGCCAAAGGUGAAGACAGGCAGCUGGGUCGAUGCUGACGCUGAGGCACGAAAGCGUGGGUAGCGAACGGGAUUAGAUACCCCGGUAGUCCACGCCCUAAACGAUGUGCACUAGAUUGUGGGGUCUCUGACGAUUUCACGGUCGCAGUAAAAACACUAAGUGCACCGCCUGGGGAGUACGGUCGCAAGGCUAAAACUCAAAGGAAUUGACGGGUCCUCACACAAGCGGUGGA
rnacentral:rRNA from 1 species